rnacentral:rRNA from 1 species
CGCGUAGGCGGUAAUGCAAGUCAGAUGUGAAAUACUCCGGCUCAACUGGGGAACUGCAUCUGAAACUGCAUAACUAGAGUACAGAAGAGGGAAACGGAAUUCCCGGUGUAGAGGUGAAAUUCGUAGAUAUCGGGAGGAACACCAGUGGCGAAGGCGGUUUCCUGGUCUGAUACUGACGCUGAGGCGCGAAAGUGUGGGGAGCAAACA